rnacentral:rRNA from 1 species
CACGUAGGGGGCAAGCGUUGUCCGGAUUUAUUGGGCGUAAAGAGCUCGUAGGCGGCUCAGUAAGUCAGGUGUGAAACCUCCAGGCUCAACCUGGAGACGCCACCUGAUACUGCUGUGGCUAGAGUCCGGUAGGGGAGCGUGGAAUUCCUGGUGUAGCGGUGAAAUGCGCAGAUAUCAGGAGGAACACCGGUGGCGAAGGCGGUGGUCUGGGCCGGCACUGACGCUGAGGAGCGAAAGCGUGGGGAGCAAACAGG